CCUGCAGAAAUAAUAAAAUAAGGAGUGUGGAAGGGGAGAAGACCAGUGCCGUGCUCAUCUUCUACUUGUCGCCGCAGUAGGCCGGCGAUUGCGGAUGCCCGAUGCCGCCGCCCAUCUCCACCCCUUCCACCGCUCCCCAUCCAACCGGCGGUCUCCGCUCCUCCCCGCCGCAGCAGGCCGGCGGGUGCUGCCCCUGCCCGCCAGGCCUCCUUGCCGGAUCCGAGGUGGCCCAGCCCGGAUCCAAUCAGGUGGGGUCCCGCCGUCACCAUCGCCGCCGUCGCUUGCCCCGAGACGACAUGCCUCGCUCGUCCCUCAUCCCGCGUCUAGGAGCGAGGGGAGGGGCCUCGGGACGUCCCGCCGGAGGAUGGCGGCGGCGGUCGCGGUGGACGCCGCGGGCAGCUGCGCUACCUGCAGGUGGGUCUUGACCACCACGGCCGGUUGGCACGAGCUACGACGAGCUUCACUGCUGUGGCGGCGUUGAUUUCCCAAAGCAAGGGGCAGUGCGGCAGGGGCAUGUUGCAGCUUGCAAGAAGCCAGCAUCCGCAUCCCAGAUGCUCGCUAGGGCGUGGGCGCGCUGGUCCACUGGAGCAACGCGCGCUCCGCGACGGCGUGCCAUUCCUCCGCGUGUGUCUUGCGCUAUCUUGCGCGACGGCAAGGCCGAGCACAGGCUUCCUGACGGUGACAAGAGAUAAGUGAACAUAGUAGCAGCCAGCGACCAUCCGUCAACACUCAGCAAUACGCUCCUGUAUUUCUCUUGUACGUUUUAUAGCUCUCUACCCACAAGCCCAACUGAAGUUAUAGACCAUCAAUGCACUAUUGUGCAGAGUCAAUCUUUGAUUCCGUUCUUGAUUUUGUUCAGUUGAUUUAUGGUUGCCAAAUUCAUCUGUCAACGUCUCAAAAAUUUCGUUGGUGAACAAAUACUUAGAUUAAUUGUUAGAUGCAAAAAAACAGGUGCAUCCUGUUUGGAUGAUCAAAUUUCAUGAUGUUUUAUUUGCACAAAAUCUGUGCAUCCUUCUA